CGAAGCACAAACACUUUUGCCCGGCUCUGUACGAUGUGAUCCCCAAAAAUUCUGCCGAUUCCGCCCAAAUCAUCCACCGAGUCUCCAAAAUUUCGUUUCCCUCGAUUGUCCUCGAUCCGGAGGGGAGUUCAAAUUCCGCUAAAGUUCCUCGAUGUUAAUUUUGAAAAAUAGAUUGAGAGAGAGAGUUUUCACCUUUUCUACUUUGCUACCGUCGAUCGAUCCAUGGGCCUGACCUUACGAAACCUCGGGCGGCGACGGAGCGCGAUCGGUAAUGGUGAAGUAUUAUGGUGAUCGUCAUCCAUCGGCGGCGAGCGUUGAGGGGAAGGACUCUAUAAAAGGUUGCUUACUGAGUUCACUUUCAAUUCAAAGCUCGUCAUCAUUAUCCUUACCAUCAUCGCCGGCGAUACUACGCAGCUCGCCGAUGCUAUCCCUGCCACCAUACGUGGUAACAUUUCUCCAGAGACCAAAUCCUAAUGCCGGUGUUUCCCAUAAGUUUGAUUGUCAUGCCAAGCAAGAUUUCUGCAUGAGUGAGAAUGAGAUCAACUGGAAAAUGCCAAAGUUUAGGUCUAAAUAAAUGAUUCACUGACAGAUCCUUCAAAUAGAAGUGAAUCAGGCAAACUGAAGAUCAAAAGCAUUUCACUGACGAAAUUGUUCACUUCAGAGCAAAUUAGGGUUCACAUUGUUGGUCUGAGGAAAUAGUUUGUCAGGUAGAUGGCACUCAAUUUAAGAAGGCAAAGUUUAGCUAGUGGAGAAAUAACGAGGAAACAGAAGAAUCUCUAAAGUUCUACAUCCUGGGAAUUUUUGUUCUCUUAUCUUCCCUUCUUCUUUGCUCUAGAAGACUAAAUGUUCCUUUUAUUAUUAUUAUUGUUUCCUGUGUGGGUGUAUGAGUUUUCAGGGUCUAUAAAAAAUUCUCAAAGUCAAGACCUGUAUAAAUCUUUACAUCUUAUGCAGUGGGAAGAUUGGCUCCCUCAAACCUCUUUAAUGGCCAAAAAAAUGAUGGAGGACAGGCAGAUGGCCUAAGUGCUUUGUUAAGGAGGUAUAAAGAAGUGAACGUACACCGUUGCCACAUAAUGCUAUUCUCAAUCGACGAUGUCAACAACAAGAUAAUAAAGAGCAACAAACCAAGGGGAAAAUAGAAAGGAUUAUUUCAAAAAGGACACUGAAAAGCUGCUGGUCGUACUGAUCCUUCUAGCAAUUUCUCCAAGGAUGCUUUGUUAUGCAGAAACUUGGUGAGACCAUUUGCUCAUUGAAGGAGGAUUUCAUCAUGGUUCAUCUGCAGACUGCAUGCUGCACCCACUGCUAUCUUCGUAUGGUCUUUGGGACAUGUCCGGUGUGCAACCAAUGCAAAAAGUUCCAACUCUAUGACGAGUUGAAGAAUUUCAGUUUGUAUCUUGAGGGUUAUUGCUUGAUUUGGCAGGAGAAUAAUGACAUCAAUGGAUAGUAUUGAUCACACUUUUGGAGAUCUUCUACAAUUUCUGGAUUUCCAUAGCACUAAUUUUUUACGAAGAUAAUCUGGCUUAAGGUCGUCUCUGAAAGUUGGAGGGGGGCAACCUCCUUGUCCCAUCUUAAAGAAUUGAUGCGGAACUAGGCUUUUCUUGUAGAGAUAUUUCUCGACGUAGCAGUCAUGGAAGAUGUGUGGAAGAGUAGGCCCAUCCCUUUUGAGGCUGCCGACCAACAAUACCUUUUCCCACGCAAGCCAAAUCUCUCUCUGCUCACUGACGAGCAGACUAAGACACGGAGGAAAGCCAAGCAGACGUGAGACCGCCGCCUGGAUUUUAAUCCGGUAUUUGCUGACCCAUACCUUUUCAGCAUAGUCCUCAACGAUAUUGUGCCAGUAAAAUUGUAGCGCGAUAUAGCAUCCGUGCCAAUAGCACAACUCAAAAUUUUUUAUUCUUGAAAUUAAUAUAUAAUUUUCCCAAUAAAUUUUAA